rnacentral:rRNA from 1 species
CCUACGGGCGGCAGCAGUGAGGAAUAUUGGUCAAUGGACGAGAGUCUGAACCAGCCAAGUAGCGUGAAGGAUGACUGCCCUAUGGGUUGUAAACUUCUUUUAUAUGGGAAUAAAACGUUCCACGUGUGGGAUUUUGUAUGUACCAUAUGAAUAAGGAUCGGCUAACUCCGUGCCAGCAGCCGCGGUAAUACGGAGGAUACGAGCGUUAUCCGGAUUUAUUGGGUUUAAAGGGAGCGUAGGUGGAUUGUUAAGUCAGUUGUGAAAGUUUGCGGCUCAACCGGAAAAUUGCAGUUGAAACUGGCAGUCUUGAGUACAGUAGAGGUGGGCGGAAUUCGUGGUGUAGCGGUGAAAUGCUUAGAUAUCACGAAGAACUCCGAUUGCGAAGGCAGUUCACUGGACUGCAACUGACACUGAGGCUCGAAAGUGUGGGUAUCAAACAGGAUUAGAUACCCCAGUAGUC